UGAGAUAUUGGAGAAAACCAUA
rnacentral:miRNA from 1 species